UACGUAGGUGGCAAGCGUUGUCCGGAAUUAUUGGGCGUAAAGCGCGCGCAGGCGGUUCUUUAAGUCUGAUGUGAAAGCCCACGGCUCAACCGUGGAGGGUCAUUGGAAACUGGAGAACUUGAGUACAGAAGAGGAAAGCGGAAUUCCACGUGUAGCGGAUGAAAUGCGUAGAGAUGUGGAGGAACACCAGUGGCGAAGGCGGCUUUCUGGUCUGUAACUGACGCUGGAGGCGCGAAAGCGUGGGGAGCAAACAGG
rnacentral:rRNA from 1 species